rnacentral:rRNA from 1 species
CGGUAAUACUGGGGGGCAAGCGUUAUCCGGAUUUAUUGGGCGUAAAGGGUGCGUAGGGGUUUAAUAAGUCAUGGUCUUUCAACGCUUAACGUUGUUGCUAUAGAAACUGUUUGACUAGAGUUGGAUAGGCAAGUGGAAUUCCAUGUGUAGCGGUAAAAUGCGUAAAGAUAUGGAGGAAACCAGUAGCGAAGGCGGCUUGCUGGGUCUUAACUGACGCUGAGGCACGAAAGCGUGGGGAGCAAACAGGAUUAGAUACCCUGGUAGUCCACGCCGUAAACGAUGAGUACUAAGUGUUGGGAAACCAGUGCUGAAGUUAACGCAUUAAGUACUCCGCCUGAGUAUACGUACGCAAGUAUGAAACUUAAAGGAAGACGGGACUCCGCACAAGCGGUGGAUCAUGUUGAAUUCGAAGAUACACGAAAAACCUUACGGUCUUGACAUACUCUGCAAAGCUAUAGAAAUAUAGUGGAGGUUAUCAGGGAUACAGGUGGU